CGCGUCACAGGAAACGUUAUCAGGAUAUGAUGGUUUAGUUGUCAACUUGCUCAAUUUCAGACUAAACAUGCGGACUUGUUAUAACCACCCUCUAUGCUUGUCGCAGCCGACGACAAGCUACGACGUAGACUUUUCACGAAAAAGUAGAGAACACUUUUUUGCGAUUUAUCCAUCUUGUUUACAUACACUAAAUGAUCCUAUAGGAAAGACCACGCAUACUGCUUCGUAAAUGAUUGGACGAUAUUUUCAAAUCCUCA
rnacentral:lncRNA from 1 species